AUUGAACGCUGGCGGAAUGCCUUACACAUGCAAGUCGAACGGCAGCACGGGAGCAAUCCUGGUGGCGAGUGGCGAACGGGUGAGUAAAGCAUCGGAACGUGCCCAGUCGUGGGGGAUAACGUAGCGAAAGCUACGCUAAUACCGCAUACGAUCUGUGGAUGAAAGCGGGGGACCGUAAGGCCUCGCGCGAUUGGAGCGGCCGAUGUCAGGUUAGGUAGUUGGUGAGGUAAAGGCUCACCAAGCCGACGAUCUGGAGCUGGUCUGGGAGGACGACCAGCCACACUGGGACUGAGACACGGCCCAGACUCCUACGGGAGGCAGCAGUGGGGAAUUUUGGACAAUGGGCGCAAGCCUGAUCCAGCAAUGCCGCGUGCAGGAUGAAGGCCUUCGGGUUGUAAACUGCUUUUGUACGGAGCGAAAAGGCUUCCACAAAUACUGGGGGCUCAUGACGGUACCGUAAGAAUAAGCACCGGCUAACUACGUGCCAGCCGCCGCCGUAAGAC
rnacentral:rRNA from 1 species